CGACGCCGCGUGAGUGAUGAAGGCCUUCGGGUUGUAAAGCUCUGUGAGGGGGACGAAUAAGGGUUGGCUAACAUCCAGCUCGAUGACGGUACCCCUUUAGCAAGCACCGGCUAACUCUGUGCCAGCAGCCGCGGUAAGACAGAGGGUGCAAACGUUGUUCGGAAUUACUGGGCGUAAAGCGCAUGUAGGCGGUUCGUAAAGUCAGAUGUGAAAGCCCUGGGCUUAACCCAGGAAGUGCAUUUGAAACUCACGAACUUGAGUCCCGGAGAGGAAGGCGGAAUUCUCGGUGUAGAGGUGAAAUUCGUAGAUAUCGAGAGGAACAUCGGUGGCGAAGGCGGCCUUCUGGACGGUGACUGACGCUGAGAUGCGAAAGCGUGGGGAGCAAACAGGAUUAGAUACCCUGGUAGUCCACGCCGUAAACGAUGGGUGCUAGGUGUCGCGGGCUUUGACUCCUGCGGUGCCGUAGCUAACGCAUUAAGCACCCCGCCUGGGGAGUACGGCCGCAAGGCUA
rnacentral:rRNA from 1 species